UUGCCGUGGUGACGAGUGAAGGGCGGUGCAGCUGAGGGGCGCUGGUAGGCCCAGGGCACCGGGCGGCGACACCCUCGGGUCCCUCGCUCGGGGAAUACGAAAGAAAACAACGCCCAUCGGAAAAAUCAGAGAAUCAUGGAAGGGUUUGGGUUGGGAGCGACGUUGGAAGAUUGGGCAGCGACACCUUUCACUAGACCAGGUCGCUCAAAGCCCCAUCCUGCCCAGCCUUGAGCAGUCUCAGGAAUCGGGCAUCCACAGCUUCUCUGGGCAGCAUGUCCCGGUGCCUCACCACUCUCACAGUAAAGAAUUUCUUACUCAUAUCUAAUCUACAUCUACUUCCCUUCAGUUUGAAGCCAUCCCUCCUUGUCCUGUCACUCCAUGCCCUUGUGAAAGGUCACUCUCUGGCUCUCUUGUGCCCCUUUACAUAGUGGGAGCUGCUGUAAGGUCUCCACGGAGUCUUCUCCGGGUUGAACAACCUCAUCACUCUUCGCUUGUCUUCAUAAGAGAGGUGCUGCAUCUCCUCUGAUCAACUUUGUGCCCCUCGUCUGGACUCGUUUGAAUGGAUCUAUGUGUUUCCUGUGUUGGGGUCCCCACAGCACUCCGGGUGAGGUCUCACCAGAGCAGAGCAGAGGAGCAGAAUCCCUUCCCUCAUCCUGCUGGCCCCACUACCUUUGAUGCAGCUCAAGAUUAACCUGAGCUUUCUCUUUUAGCGUUGAACUCCUCAAGGGCACUAACGUGUUUCUCCCAGAGGGACUUUUCUUGCACUGUGUUCUUGUUGCGAUGCAACAAUAUGAGUAUGUCUGUCUAGCACAGCAUAACAAUAUUUAAAAGUGAGGAAUGUAUGAAACAUGACAGGACUUCAGCAUGGUGAAAGAAUAACCAAAACAAAUCACAUCCACAUGGAGCUAAAGGAGAUGAGAUCUUUGCAGUGGUAAAAUGGAGUAGAUUUUAAAGAGGGGAGAAACAUCUGAUAGCUUCUCAGUAAUAUGAAAUUAAACCAGUUUGACACUUUUGAAUAAAUGCAGGUGAAAUUGGAAGCUAUUAAAAGAUGGGGCUUUGGUUCAUCAUCAGUCAGUUCAGGCUAAAAAUAAAGACCCUGUGAGCUAAAGAGAUGAAACAGGUUUUUCUACUUGGUAAUAACAUGGGUCUCAUCCAACAAUGAUGGUUGUUCCCUCAAAAAUGAAAUUAGUUCUGGUGCAACAGUAGCAUCCAAAAAUCAUAGACAUCUAUCUAUAAAAACCUGUUCACAGCAGGAGCUUCUUUUCCCCAGUAUGAACAAGGGCUGUCAACAAGUUUUAAACCACUGGAGACUGAACUUCUUAAGUACAUCUGCACUCGAUUUCCUACGUUCAGUUUAUAAAUAUUCCUUGUUUCUGCUAAAAAUGCCUUUUCCUUAUGGUCCAAUCUCCACAGAUCAAGUGUGUUUAACUCUUCUGGGUAUUUCAUGCUAGAGACCAAACACAAAAAGAGUCUUCAAGUUACUGGAACCAACACCAACCUUCUGAAGAGUAAUUAAUGUAAAUUGAUAUACAUGAACCAACAAUUGCUGAAAAUUAAUACCAGAUUAAUGCAAGUGCAUAGUCAGAACUAUACCAAGGAGAAGAACAAGCUGAAAUGGUUAAUAGAAAGAAGGUAGAUAAGGAAACAGAUGAAAGCAGAAUCUUGUGAAUGAAGAUACUGGUAUGAUGAUUUUAAGACUAGAGUAGAAUUUCUUUUUCCCCUUUAGUGUGAACUACACAAAACCCUUCACCUUUUGAGGAUUCUGCUUGGUGCAGCUUUAAGGUUAUUUUGGUCACAACAGAUGACUGCAGACCAUAAAUGUUUUGUCUUGUCCAACUUGCCCUGUAGCCACUGUGCCUGAGCCAGAGUAGAGAGCAGCUAUCCAUGGAAGAUAUGAGAAACAGUGUGUGUUUCUCUGGCUGCAGGCUAUAAUUAGUUCUUAGUAGGUAAUCAACAAAACUGCAUGCUUAUUCUCCUUCCACCCCAUGAGAUUUUCUUCUCUACAUGAAAUAUUCACGCAAAAUUUCAAGAUUAUAUCAUUUGUGAGUCGUUUUUCCUGAUACUUCUAUUUGGAGUGGUUAGAGCUGGGAAUUGAAGCAAUUACAGAAUUCUGACAGAUGCAUCUGUUCAAGGUUCAGAUGCUAUCAGAACAUUUCUGUAUUUCCAGCCAAGACGUUGACAAUGGGUGGCUCCCUGCUCCUUCUUCAUUUACCCUCACUCUCCUGGUUGUGGUGAAGAGCUUGGCAUAUUUGCAUUUCUUGAAAUGCAGAAGCAGCAGACUCUGGUGAGAUGUUUCAUUGUCUGUAAAAGAGGGUGACUCCAAGGCCUGAUCACAGGAAGACCAGCUCUCAGCUUCUCCUCAAGGUCACAUCUCUGUCAAGCUAUCCCAAUCUCAGCUGCAAAAAUAGCAACAUUCUCAGCAUGGAAACAGUAGAAGCAAAAUCCAAUUUUAAAAGUUCCUGGAAAUAUUGAGUGCCCUUUUUUCCAUCAUAACAUCUGAGGUAGCCUUUUCUUGCUGUAUAGAGGCAACCUGAAAAUUGUCUGAAGAUGGCAAAGCUCUGCUGAACAAGGUCAGCUCCCACAAGAACUUCACUUGCCCUUGAUUCUCACCCUCAACAUGAGUCAUGAACAGCAGUGGGCAGAGCUGUAACAACGUUGAAUGCUUCCUGGAUAAAAUCCCUAGAGCUUUUUAAAGACCAUGAGAAGGACUCUCCAGCUGAGUGACAGAGACAACAACACAGUUCCCACUAUUUAAUAGGCUUUUUAUUAUAUUGUGAACAAAAACUGUGUAAGAAAAAUAUUAAAUACAGAACAGGCCAUAGGUAAUUUCACAGAUACAUACUACACUCAGGCUGAUGCUGGCAGAACCAAUGAAUUUUUAUAUCUGCCAGAUUUACUACUAAAAUUAGUAUAAUUUGCAUGUUUAAGUAUCCCCCCCUAAAGUCGUUGCUGGAUAGUUCUAAGGAGCUAAAAGGAGCAGAUCUUCUCUGCAGCUUAAUAUAAGGGUUUCAUGAAUAAAAAGGCUAAGGAGCAAAACAGAACGGGAGGGUUUUGAAGUUAUCUAUGAAGGAUGAUUAUCUAUUUACAAGAUUUUAUUAAUCUUGUAUCAAUUUUGUAAUCAAAAAAAUGACAGCUUUACAGUAUUAGCUGCUUUCAAACCAUUUGCAUUUGGGGUUCUGAUUCUGCAGUUGCUGAGUUGUAAUUGUCCUCUUAAGAAGAAAAAUAGGAUGAUGGUCAACAGCCCCUUCAAAGGAUAGCCAGGGUUUCACCUUUUAUGUAAAUGCCCAAGGCAAUUGUUUGGAUGCCCAGGUAAGGAGGUAAGGCACCCAGAAUGUGGGAAAAUAAAAUUCAAGUGCCAUUACGCUGGAAACGGUGUUAGUCCAGAGCUCCUUCCUCUUUGCUAUCACUCUAUCCAUCUGCUGCAGGAUAUUCUGGGAAGUUCUGCUUUGUAUGGCACACUCAAAUAUUCAGUAGGACAAGGACAUAUGUCAUACAAUAUGGUCAUUAAAGCAUUCAAGUAGUGGGUGCUUUACACAGCUCUUCCAGGUAUUUAAUCAUUCUAUGGAAUACACAGUUUAGAACUUCUCCCCUGAACAGCUGGAUGACUAUAGCACUUACCUAGACAAUUCCAAUGUUCUGAGAUAAAAACUGGAGGUGUUUUAGAUCCAGGUGAAUGCCUCUCUUCUGAGCUAUUAUGGAUAAAAAAAGCAGACACCUCCAUCCAUGACUGUAUAGAAAUACAUAUCAACAUAUACAUUGUAUCAAAUCCUGCAGAUGAAAUAGAAGGGGCAAAAAAAAAAUUAUCCCCUGAAUCUGGGAUUUCUGUCUAAAUUCAAAGUAUCUGGGUCCUGUAAAGAUAUAGAUGUUAGUAUCAUCAGGUUAUGGCAAAAUCUAAGUAACUCUCGCUUAUUUCUUCUUUAAAAAAUGUAUUUACUGAUUUAUUGCAACAAAUACCACCUAUAUUUUGGUCAAAACCACCUAAAAUGUCAUAGAAUCAUUUGAAUCCUUGUUUUGUAACUUCAUUCUGUAAUGCUUUAAAAUUGUACAGAUUUUAAUACUAAUAAGCCCAGAAUACUCAGCAGUCCCUCUCAAAAGAGAAACUAGGAACCUCAAGGAAGAAGAAUUCAUGAAUUAGGAAAUACACGAAGGUAAUUCUUGCACAACUCGGAAGUGCUGAAGUUUUCUUAAAAAACCUAUGAACUAAUAUAGUUGAAGGAUCCUUCUGAGUCUAGCUUCCAGGCAACUUAAUUCCUUUCUCUUGUUAAACCAAGACAUUCAAGGUGUGAAAAGCCCUAGUCUGAGUACUACCUUGCACAACUAUGUCAAAUCUGGGAUCUAGAAGUACAACACUGAGUCAGAUAAUACAUUUGCCUCUGAUAUCACAUAUCAGCAUUGCAGCUCUGUAGUCAUACUGUACCAUUACUAAACUACUGUUUACUGCCUUGCAAUUCUGUAAAAAAAAAACCCCAAACUUGUAAAAACACAUAUUAAUUUUCCAAGAAACCUUAAGGUAUGUCACAAACAAUUAAAGACAUUUCUUGGCUAGAGGAUUUGGUACAGUAUACAAACAUACAGAGAGCAGAAAGAAGAGAGUGAAAACAAGAAACUCAUCCCGUUAGCCAAUUAGUAUAGCAUUGAUAAUUUACUCAUUCCUACAUUUUUCCUACUCAUUUCCUACAAUUUGAAUUCCUGGGAAGUUUUGAGUGUAGCACAGUGAUGUCUGGUGAAUAGCUUUGGGAAUAAUAUCGUAAGCACACCUUCUGCCAAAUGGUAUCAGCAGCAAGCGGGAGCUAAAUUUAAAUAUCAAAGACAUUUAAAUUGACACACACAUUGGCUGCUGGCCAGAGACCCAAGGAAAGCUGUGUUGUUGGGUUGGUUUUUUAAUGAGUUCCUUUUUUGGAUCUCAGGGAGCUUGGUAGCAAGCUGUCUGUCAGGAUGUAGCACUAUGGAGGCAGUGAGAUGCGAAACCGAUUUGUGGAAGAUCAACAGUAGAUAAGUAUUUUAAAGGUAGUUGGAUAGAGGUAAUAAUUACAUACACAUCAGCAGGAGAGGUCACCCAAGGACAGAAGGACUGAGGAUGGGGGGGGAAGCAAUACCUUUUGAGAAGGCUACACCUUGAGGUGGGAGAAAAAGCUUUCGGGAAAGAUGCUUGAGGGAAAGUCUAGACUGAAACAAAAAGAGCAUAGAGAAGUCCUUAUGCCCAAUGCUACAAGGUAUCAAAGGACAGAUAUUUAAUAGUGGUGUCAAGGGCAACAAAUACAUCGGAGAGGAUGAGGAUCAUCCAAGAUGUGCAGGCUCGCACCUUGGUUAGGAAGUAGACUUUCAGUGAUGGUACAAGGAGGAUGUCUGCGAAGAGGAGCCAUCAGGAACAGACUGAAAGUGGUCUAAGACUCAGAUCACAGCUAUUUAUUUCCUUAUUGCCACCACUGUCACUUUGUUCAUCUACUUUGCCUUUUGUAACAGUUGUAAACAUCAAGAGCUGUAGAAACAAGUGUUCUGUUUCUAUUAAUUUGGACAGCACCAAAGUCAGAUGUGCAGAGAUGCACAAUGGGCCAGGAAGAUUUGAUUUCCCAGGAAACAAUAAAUCAACAGGGUAACUGAAGGAUUAAUGCACUGAACAGAGGAAUAUGGAAGAAAUGGCAGAGUCAGCAAAACAAGAAUGGAAAUAACAAAAGCUGUUGAUUAUCGUAUUACAUUGUGGUUAGUGGAUC